rnacentral:lncRNA from 1 species
UUCUUAGAGAGCCUUGAGGAUCUCAUCGGCGCUUGAAACAGUGAACUCGCCACCAGAUUCAACAUUGGCGACAGUCACCUUAAGGUUGUCCAACAACAUAGCAAAUCUCUUUGUCCUAACACCAAGACCCUUGUCCUUGAGGUCAAGCUCAAGUCCGAGUAGCUUUGUGUAUUCUCCUGACCCGUCUGCUACAAACUUCACAUGCUUGUUGUCUGGGUAUGUCUUUCCCCAAGCCUUCAUCACAAAUGGAUCAUUCACUGCAACAAAUCAAUUGCAAAUUAUGUUUAACCAAACAGCUUUAAUUAUAAAUUUUUGAAUAUACAAAUUGAUAGAGAUCAUGAUAUUCACCGCUAAAGCAAAUGAUCUCAUCAACACCCUUUGAUUUCAGCUCCUCUGCUUUGUCAAUGAAACUAGGCACAUGCUGCAUGCUAAUUCAAGAAAAGAAAACAUAAAUUGUCAAAUAUAAAUCUAAGGAUCCAGCUUAGCAACUACACCAAUAUACACAAAAGUUGAGUAACAAAACUACUUAAAGGAUAAACCUGAAAACCUAAUCUGAUUGAGAACAAGAAAAAAAAAGUAUCAUAUUUCAUAUCAAAUUAUGACAAAACUCCUCUAUAUAUGGUACGCCUCACGAGUCAGGAUCUAAGGCGAUUUACAACUAUAUAUACACUACAAAAAAAACAAGGCCAUUACGGAAAUUCUAAUUAAUUUAAAUCCGUCUGAAAUUCUCAACGAUUUCCAAUGAAACGGAUGGAAAAAAUGGCGUCAUCGGAAAUAUAUAAAAAUGUCACAUCCUGACCUCAUUUUCGACAACAACUGAACAUUUUAUGACAAAUAAGAAAAAGUUUGGAGGAUUUUACCUGCAGGUCGGGGUAAAAGCACCAGGUACACCGAAGAGAACGACCUUCUUACCGGCGGCGAAAGAGUGAACGGAAACGGUUUGGACCUGAUCAUUCUCGUCGAAGAAGGAGAUUGAUCCGUCUGGUACAACAUUGCCGACAGCAAUUGGAGCCAUGAUCAGAAGCAAAUGAUUUGAACUUUAAAGUAAAUGUGAAAAUGGAAGAGGUUAAAGUGUGAAAUGAAAUGGAUGGCUUUUCAGAUAAUUUAUAGGACUUUUGGAUAAUUAUCAUUAAUUGAGUUUCUUUUAUUUUUUAUGGUCAAAAUAACUGAUUUUUUUUCUUGAUUACCUUUUUGUUUGGUGAAGAUACGUUUCCGGAAUGAAAAAUCACUAAUUCAUUUUCUUUCCUUUUGUUCUUUUUACUAUUUUUGAUUUUCUUUCUUGAUCACUACUUCUUCUUUGCUUGGUCAAAAUUCAUGAUUACGAUUCUUACCUGUAAAUUUUGAAUGAUAAAAGAUAUAUAUUUUCCAAAAUUACAGCAACUUGUUUUUAGAAACCUUAGUAAAAAAUUUAGUAGUCAAAUUUACAAAAUCUUUUGAAAAACUUAUUAUGGUACAUAUGAAAAUUCUUAUGGUAAUAAAUCUUUUUUUUUUGGAAUACCCAAAAAUCAAUAUGAUGGAAAUAAGAAAAUUAUCUUGGUUAGGAAUUUUACUUUUUUUGUUAGAUUUAUUUCUUUUCUGGCCAAAAAUACUGUCUGUUUUUUUUUCAAUAUCAAAAAAAAAAUAAACAAAAAUACUAUUUUCUAUUAUUAUUUGAGAAGGACACUUAAAAAAUAACCUUUAUGUCAUGUGUUAUUAACAAUUUUGUCAUGCUAAUGUUCAAUCUCAUAAAGCUUCUCAAAGAUUUUUUGAAAUUAGACUAAACUUACUAGAUUAAUUACAUCAUAUGCCAUUAACAUUAAUUUAGUUAAAGAUUAGUUUAUAUCAAAUAUAUAUUUAAUACUCAAACAUUUAAUUUGUAAAUAUAUUCUCUCUCUUUCUAUUUAUUAUCAACAUAUUUAUAAAAAUUUAAUACAUAAUAUUACUUAUGUUACUAAACAUUAUUUUCUUAUCUCAUCUUUAUUUAAUUUUAAUUUUGUUAAAAAAUAAUCAUAUUAUCUAUUUAAUAAUUAAAUUUAAAUUUUUUCAUUCAUAUUAUAAUUCACAUUUUUUAUAUCAAAGCAAAGUAUCUUAGUCUGAUGUUAGACCGGUUAGAUAGAACAUAUUAAUCUAAUUUAGUAUAUUUAAUGUAUAAUUUUAUUCAUCUAAAAAAUAUUAUUAAAAUUAAUUAUAAAAUCAAUAAUUAUCUAGUAUUUAUGCAAUUGUAUUAUAAAAUAAAUAUAACUUUGAUCAUUAUUUAUAACUAAAUUUUGCGUCCACGCUACGCGUGGGUAUUUUUUUGAUAAAAAUUAUAUGCAAUCAAUUAUAUUUAUUAAGAUAUAAAUUUUAUAUAUUAGUGAUUUAAUAAUAUAUUAAAAAUAUUAUGGUGUUAAUUAUUAUGUAAAUUUAGAGGUUUUAAGGGUUUUGUUUUAAAUCUAUAUACAGAAUGUCAUAUUUCAAAAAUGUAUUAAUUGGUCGAACAUUUAUAAGUUAAUAUACUCAAAUCAACUAAAAAAUUUACAAAUUAAUUAAAUGAUACUUUUUAAACAUAGUAUUGACAUGAUGAUAAAAUAUUAUACAUUCACUUCUUUAAAUCAUGAAGAUAAUUUUUUUCAUCAUUUUCACUUUUCUUCCAAUUAUAUAUGUGAUCUUUAAAAACAAUAAAAAAUAAUACAAUUUAAAAUUUAAUCUUUUUUCUUCUCUUGUUUAACUGAUACAAAUUUUUAUUUUGUUAUAUUAAUUUAAACAACAAAUAUUUGCUUUGAGAUUAAUAACAAAUUUAAAUUUGAAACCAAAAUAAUAGUUGAAUAUAAAAUAAAUAAAAUCACACAAAAUUUGUGAAUUAAAUAUAUUAUCGUCAAUUUGUUGUGCAAACGUUUGAAAAUUUUUUCAAUGAUUAUACGUCAUCUCUUCUAUUAAGAAUACUUUUUUUCAUCAUGUUCAUUUUUAUUCUUGUUAUAUCUGUUUUUUCAACGAUAUAUCAUCUUUAUUUAUUUUAAUGAUUUUUGUAUGAUUAUCUUCAGUUUCAUCAUAUUCAUUCUUAUUUUUUGUAAUUAUAAUUAAGUAGGCAAAGCUGGUACAAUUUAAUAUAUAGAGAUCUAGAAAAAUGAAAUAACAAAUUGAACAACUCAAAAAUUCUACAUUAAUCAUUGCAAUUCCAAGUCGAAUAUACAAGAUGUAUUUUUUUGAGCAUUUUCGCAUAAUAUAUUACAUGAGAUUAUGUAGAAAUAUGUUUUGCAUAUGUAAAAAAAAUAAUUAAUAUAAAUUAUAAUUAUUAAUUAUUUAAAUUUCUACGUGAAAAACCUUAAAUCAAGUAACCUAAACUUGUAUAAGUAGCAUAUAUUUUUAUAGAUAAUAAAUUAAAUUUAUAACUUAAACAUCAAUAAUGAAGAUUUUAAUAUCAUGUUUUUUUUGUUAAUAGAGAUUUCUUUAUUCUUUAAUAUUUUUCUUAAUAGAUUUAGAAUUUUUUUAAAUUUACAAUUUUGAUAUAUACGAAUAAAGUUUAAUUUUUAAAUACUGAUAUGAAUGCUUUGAAAAUAAUAGCUUUAACUGUUAUUAAUAAUAGAAUAAUUUUAAUUAACAAUUUUUCGUAUAUUUUUUGUAUUAACAAUGUAAUUUAAUAAUUUAGAAUUUUUUUAAAUUUUAGUUAUUGAUGUACACUAAUAAAUUGAAAUUUUAAAUUUUUGUGGAUGUUUUUAGAGGCAUAUAGCUACGAUUUUAUUUUUCUAUAAAUUUAUUUUUUUGUUAACCAUAUAAAUUUUAAAUUUUGGAAAUUUUUUUAACUUUAAAUAUUGAUGUGGACCAAUAAAAUUGAACUUUUAAAUCAUAUUUGGACAUUCUUAUAGGCAUAUAGCUUUUACUUUUUUAAUAAUAGAUGUAAAAAUCAAAGGUAGAAGAUUCUACAAGAGGCAAGUGAUUGUGGUCUCUCCUUGUUUUGAGGCUUACCGAAUGUAUUUGGAUGCUGCUUGGUCUGCUAGUUGUUACCUUUUUGGUUAAUGUUAGGUUGUUAAAACCCCAUUAGAUGCCAUGUUAUUUCAAAAAACUUCUUCGGAUACCUCAAUCUUCGUCUUAAUGACGGAACUUCUUUCUCUAUUUUCAAGUGCUUCGUUUUUCAAAAGUGUCAUAAUUUUGGUCUCGCCUUCUUGUUUUGAGGCUUACCGAAUGUAUUUAGAUGUUGAUUGGUCAGCUAAUUGUUACCUUUGUGGUUAAUGUUAGGUUACUAAAACCCCAUCAGAUUCCAUGUUAUUUCAAAAAUCUUCCUCAGAUACCUCAAACUUCUUUGUCUUAAUGACGAACCUCUUUCUCUAUUUUCAAUGCUUCAUUUUUCAAAAGUUUCGAGUAUCAAUCACUUGACAUGUUUCUCGGAUUGCUUGAAAUUUAUCAUUCUUCUCAAAUUCGGUGGCCAAGCUUUGUAGAUUUUUCGGUCUCUUUUUCGAUAUUAAAGCGGUUUGUAAUGGCUUUGUUUAUAUCUUUUUCAUUAUAGUUAAAAAUAUAAUUUAGUCAAGUUGGUUCUUUUACGUUGUAAUGACUUAUUUUUUAUUGAAACUUAACUCUAUUUUUUUGUUUUGUAUAUUUGAAAUGGUUGCACACACAAAAAAAAACUUAAAACUUAUUAUAGUUAUGUGACAAAAAAAUUGAAUGCUAAUGUAAGAGUCUCUAAAUAUGUGUUUAUACCUCUAAUUUAAAUAUUAAAUUUCCUAUUUUAAUAUUAUUUAUUUUAGUUGUUAUUAUUAAUAUAAAUUGUAUAUAUAAUUUCUUUUUCUUUAAUAAUUUUUAAAAACAAUAAUAUAAUUUGAAAACUUUUUAAUUUUCAAUGUUGAGGUGGACAAAUAAAAAAAUUACAACAAAAUAUUUGUCCAGCAAUAAUAUUAGAAUUUGUAAAGUUUCUUAAUUUCUUUAUUCAGCAAUAAUAUUAGAAUUUGUAAAUUUUUUUUAAUUUUGAAUGUUGAUGUGGACUAAUAAAAUUAUAUUUUUUAAUCUUAUGUGGACACUUUUAAUACAUAAUUCUUUAUUCUUUUAUAUAUAUUUUAUUAACAAUAAUAUUAGAAUUUGGAAAUUUUCCUUAAUUUUGAAUGCUGAUGUGGACCAAUAAAAUUACUCUUUUGAAUCCUAUAUGGACGCCUUGAGAAGCCUAUAGCUUCAACUUUUAUUAGUAUAAGAUUGCAUAAUCAUCAUAUAUAUUUGUAAUUAUAAAUAUCAGCUAAUAUUUUUAUAGCUGUAUUUAUAUAUAUUAUAUUUGCACAUUUGAAUAAAAGAAUUAUAAUUAAUAUUUACCCUGCAUAUGGUGCGGGUAAUCAACUAGUCUUUGAUUAUAGUAGAGAUAGAAAGAGUGACAAAAGAAAAACAGAAUGCUAAAGCCUAAACGGAGAAAAGGAUUCUUAUUGUGUGACAAUUAACGUGCAUGGAAUUUCUUUCAUUCAUAAUAUGUCGAAAUCUAUAAUCUGUUGGGCCUAAGAAUUAGGCUAUUAAGCCUAUUAUCAAUCUUGACAUAAUGACAUCUUGUAAUUUGUAGAUCUAUUGGAAAUUUAUAAGUCAAGAAACGAAUGAUGAGUGAUUGCCAAUUUAUUUUACGUACCCAAUAGCUCAUUCUAAUAUUACAUACCCACAAAUCCAUAAUGAACCCUAUUGAACCUAAACUGAACCAAGAAUCGAAAUAAGCCCAAACAUGAGAUAAACUCAAAACUCAACAAAACCAUCAAAGAGGAAAUAGCAUUGUUGAUAUGAGGAAGCUGAAGCGAUGUUCAAUCAAGCGAGUUGCAGAAUCUGACUUUCCUGAUAAUUAAGCUCCAAUGUGACAAACUCCUUUUUUGAGCUUAUCUUCAACAGUUCAACGAUACAUUGGUAUGAACCCUAGAUCAAAUCUAAGCACAUCACUCCAGAUCUUGGUCUCCGAUAACAAACGCAUAUAUAGUUUGUUAAACAAUUCACAACACAGCAUAAAGAAUGAAGAACACCAUACAACUUUGACUUAUGCUAAAACUUUCUUAGUAACAGCAAAACCUCUGGCUUAUUACCAAGGAUUUAUGUUCCUAAAAUAGACCUUAUUUGGUGCUUAUCAUUGCCUCAUUCAGUUUGAUAUGUCUCAUAUCUUUCAUAAAUCAACACAAAGAAAAACACCAACACCAACACUUUGAUAUUACGACAUAAGCAAGUCACUACCGCUUUAUUAUGCCUGCUUAGUGAAAUCAGGCUUAGAGUCUUCACUUUCAAAUGCAGCGGUUUUACAUUCAUAAAUACAAAAGACAAUGAUAAAGUUUACUUAGAGAGCCUUGAGGAUAUCAUCGGCGCUUGAAACAGUGAACUCGCCACCAGAUUCAACGUUGGCGACAGUAACCUUGAGGUUGUCCAACAACAGAGCAAAUCUCCUUGACCUAACACCAAGACCCUUGUCCUUGAGGUCAAGCUCGAGUCCAAGAAGAUGUGUGUAUUCUCCUGACCCGUCUGCUACAAACUUCACAUGCUUGUUCUCUGGGUAUGUUUUUCCCCAUGCCUUCAUCACAAAUGGAUCGUUC